GCAAGUCGAACGGCAGCGGGUAGGGAGCUUGCUCCCUAUGCCGGCGAGUGGCGGACGGGUGAGGAAUACAUCGGAAUCUACUCUGUCGUGGGGGAUAACGUAGGGAAACUUACGCUAAUACCGCAUACGACCUACGGGUGAAAGUGGGGGACCGCAAGGCCUCACGCGAUAGAAUGAGCCGAUGUCCGAUUAGCUAGUUGGCGGGGUAAAGGCCCACCAAGGCGACGAUCGGUAGCUGGUCUGAGAGGAUGAUC
rnacentral:rRNA from 1 species